UACGGAGGGUGCGAGCGUUGUCCGGAAUCAUUGGGCGUAAAGGGCGCGUAGGUGGCCCGGUCAGUCUUUGGUGAAAGCGCGGGGCUCAACCCUGCGUCGGCCAGGGAUACUGCCGCGGCUCGAGCACUGUAGAGGUGGGUGGAAUUCCUAGUGUAGAGGUGAAAUUCGUAGAUAUUAGGAAGAACACCGGUGGCGAAGGCGGCCCACUGGAUCGGUACUGACGCUGAGGUGCGAAAGCGUGGGGAGCAAACAGG
rnacentral:rRNA from 1 species